rnacentral:rRNA from 1 species
AAUCUUGCGCAAUGGGCGAAAGCCUGACGCAGCGAUGCCGCGUGGGGGAUGAAGGCUCUCGGGUCGUAAACCCCUUUCAGCAGGGACGAAAAUGACGGUACCUGCAGAAGAAGCCCCGGCCAACUACGUGCCAGCAGCCGCGGUAACACGUAGGGGGCAAGCGUUGUCCGGAUUUAUUGGGCGUAAAGGGCUCGUAGGCUGUUCAAUAAGUCAGGUGUGAAACCCCAAGGCUCAACCUUGGGACGCCACUUGAUACUGCUGUGACUAGAGUCCGGUAGAGGAGAUUGGAAUUCCUGGUGUAGCGGUGAAAUGCGCAGAUAUCAGGAGGAACACCAACGGCGAAGGCAGAUCUCUGGGCCGGUACUGACGCUGAGGAGCGAAAGCAUGGGGAGCGAACAGGAUUAGAUACCCUGGUAGUCCAUGCCGUA